rnacentral:rRNA from 1 species
CCUACGGGUGGCAGCAGUGAGGAAUAUUGGUCAAUGGACGCAAGCCUGAACCAGCCAAGUCGCGUGCAGGAUGACGGCCCUAUGGGUUGUAAACUGCUUUUGUACGGGGAUAAAACCCUCUACUUGUGGAGGUUUGCAUGUACCGUACGAAUAAGGGUCGGCUAACUCCGUGCCAGCAGCCGCGGUAAUACGGAGGAUCCGAGCGUUAUCCGGAUUUAUUGGGUUUAAAGGGAGCGUAGGCGGGUCGUUAAGUCAGGGGUGAAAUCCGGCGGCUCAACCCCGGCACGGCAGUUGAUACUGGACGGCUUGAGUUUAGAAGAGGUAGGCGGAAUUCGUGGUGUAGCGGUGAAAUGCAUAGAGAUCACGAAGAACCCCGAUUGCGAAGGCAGCCUGCC